rnacentral:rRNA from 1 species
AUACGGAGGGUGCAAGCGUUAAUCGGAAUUACUGGGCGUAAAGCGCGCGUAGGCGGUUAUUUAAGUCAGAUGUGAAAUCCCUGGGCUCAACCUAGGAACUGCAUCUGAUACUGGGUAACUAGAGUUUUGGAGAGGUAAGUGGAAUUUCCGGUGUAGCGGUGAAAUGCAUAGAGAUCGGAAGGAACACCAGUGGCGAAGGCGACUUACUGGCCAAAAACUGACGCUGAGGUGCGAAAGCGUGGGUAGCAAACAGGAUUAGAAACCCCAGUAGUCC